CCCCGAGGUAUCAUGUACCCAGAGGACGUUCGUGGUGAAGGCCCGAGGCGUCGGGUAGAGCAUUAAUUUAGGAUUAACGUAGGUUUACUUUCAGUCCCUUUUUAUGUCGGGUUGUAAUAAUUGGACUGGACUUUACAUUUCGGAUUGUUUUGUUUUGUUUGAUUAUUUUGCGUGCUUUUUGUGCGGUUUAUACAUUUCUUAGUGCC
rnacentral:lncRNA from 1 species